UACAGAGGUCUCAAGCGUUGUUCGGAUUCAUUGGGCAUAAAGGGUGCGUAGGCGGUUUGUUAAGUCACUGGUGAAAGUUUUCGGCCCAACCGGAAAAUGGCCUGUGAUACUGGCGAACUUGAGUGCGUGAGGGGUGGGGGGAACGAGCAGUGUAGCGGUGAAAUGCGUAGAUAUUGCUCGGAAGGCCGGAGCCGAAGGGGCCCCACUGGUACGCAACUGACGCUGAGGCACGAAAGCGUGGGGAGCAAACAGG
rnacentral:rRNA from 1 species